rnacentral:miRNA from 1 species
UUAGCGCAUAGUAUUUGGUCU